UACGUAGGGUGCGAGCGUUGUCCGGAAUUAUUGGGCGUAAAGAGCGUGUAGGCGGUCCGGUAAGUCCGCUGUGAAAGUCGGGGGCUCAACCCUCGAAUGCCGGUGGAUACUGUCGGGCUAGAGUGCGGAAGAGGCGAGUGGAAUUCCUGGUGUAGCGGUGAAAUGCGCAGAUAUCAGGAGGAACACCAAUUGCGAAGGCAGCUCGCUGGGACGUUACUGACGCUGAGACGCGAAAGCGUGGGGAGCAAACAGG
rnacentral:rRNA from 1 species